CCUACGGGUGGCAGCAGUGGGGAAUAUUGGACAAUGGGCGAAAGCCUGAUCCAGCCAUGCCGCGUGUGUGAAGAAGGCCUUCGGGUUGUAAAGCACUUUCAGUGGGGAAGAAAGCCUUGGGGCUAAUACCCUCGAGGAAGGACAUCACCCACAGAAGAAGCACCGGCUAACUCCGUGCCAGCAGCCGCGGUAAUACGGAGGGUGCGAGCGUUAAUCGGAAUUACUGGGCGUAAAGCGCGCGUAGGCGGUCUGAUAAGCCGGUUGUGAAAGCCCCGGGCUCAACCUGGGAACGGCAUCCGGAACUGUCAGGCUAGAGUGCAGGAGAGGAAGGUAGAAUUCCCGGUGUAGCGGUGAAAUGCGUAGAGAUCGGGAGGAAUACCAGUGGCGAAGGCGGCCUUAUGGACUGACACUGACGCUGAGGUGCGAAAGCGUGGGUAGCAAACAGGAUUAGAUACCCGAGUAGUC
rnacentral:rRNA from 1 species